AGGAUUAGAUACCCUAGUAGUCCACGCCGUAAACGAUGUCUACUAGCCGUUGGGACUCUUGAAGUCUUAGUGGCGCAGCUAACGCACUAAGUAGACCGCCUGGGGAGUACGGCCGCAAGGUUAAAACUCAAAUGAAUUGACGGGGGCCCGCACAAGCGGUGGAGCAUGUGGUUUAAUUCGACGCAACGCGAAGAACCUUACCUGGCCUUGACAUGCAGAGAACUUUCCAGAGAUGGAUUGGUG
rnacentral:rRNA from 1 species